rnacentral:rRNA from 1 species
GUUCUACCUUGACGAAUUGUAGUUUAAAGAAGUGUUUUCUGUUGGAGUUUUGGUAAAAGUUCUUUGGAAUAGGACAUCAUAGAGGGUGAGAAUCCCGUAUUUGACCAUUAUUUCCAGCUUUGUGAUACACUUUCAAAGAGUCGGAUUGUUUGGGAAUGCAGUCCAAAAUGGGUGGUAAAUUUCAUCUAAAGCUAAAUAUUGGCGAGAGACCGAUAGCGAACAAGUACCGUGAGGGAAAGAUGAAAAGAACUUUGAAAAGAGAGUUAAACAGUACGUGAAAUUGUCAAAAGGGAAGCGUUUGACACCAGUGUUGUUUUCUCGAAAAUCAAUUAAAAAAGACUGGAUUUUGUGUUGUAUUGACUUUAUCAGCUUUCUGCACUCUUUUCUUGUCUUUUUU